rnacentral:lncRNA from 1 species
UUAGGAAGCGUUAGAGGAUGGAUGCUGUGGAUGAAUGGAGCAAUGGACAUAAUGACAGAUCGGUGCACUGAGUGGCUCGCACGGCUCUUGGCUUUCAGCCCUCGGAGUAGAACAAGUGGAAGUUCACCGACAACCCCGUGUUCCUGGAGAUGGUCAGGAUCCCUGCAGCAGGGCUUCUGCAGCACGUGGUUCUGUAGCCUGAAGCCGCAAGACCUGUGGCCUGGCUUUGUGCGAAGGUCUGCAGCCCGUGUCCUGCACGUGCAUCAGCGCAGGUGUCUGAGGAGGGAGGCCUCUCUCCUUCUGUCCCCUUCAGUGCCAGCGGCUUCCAGCUCCGUGAUGACCCCUCUCAUCUUUGCAUCCUGGGUGAGAAAGCAGCUCCCAGGUGCUGCUGCUGCUGGGCUGAGGACUACGCUUUGAGCCCCACCCUGGUUCCCGAGGCGCUAGAACUUGAUGGAGCUGGCAGGACGUGUUGGCAUCGUGCAGAAACAGAGUCGGGCCUCCUGAAGGCCCAGCAGAUGGCAGAACCCCACACAUGGAGCCACUUUCCCCACCACAUUCCAACCACUAGGACUGAGGGAACCAAACUGGGACCCCACAAACAGGUCUUUCUUCCAAGUCAGCUUCUCUUGACUUUCACUGUCUCCUCCUCCAGCUGGGACACAGGAUGGUCUGGCCCUGCCAUCUGUCCUCCUGGUCCUCCCUCAGCCCCCUCGGGCUCUGGCCCAGCUCUUGGCCCGUCUCAGGAACGUGGGGCUGUUUCCUGGGUUCUUCUCUCUUCCCAACACGUCUGCAUCAGAGAUUCCUGCCCAAGAGGCCUGAGCCUGGUCUGCUUUCUCCCACACCCUUGUGGCAUUGGUGGAGACACACUGAGAGCAGGUGUGGUCUUUAGGCCCCCCCCCCCCCCACACACACCUGAUCGAAAUGAGCCCACACUGUCUCUUCCUACUGCCCUCAGCCAGGACCUUCCCAAUUCCAGAGACUCCAAAUUGUCUUUAAUAAACCACUAUCAACCCAUAGGUCUGCCAACAAGCCUUUUU